GAUGAACGCUUGCGGCGUGCCUAAUACAUGCAAGUCGAGCGAAGCGGGGACGGGUGAGUAACACGUGGAUAACCUCCUAUAAGACUGGGAUAACUUCGGGAAACCGGAGCUAAACCGGAUACUUAUAGAUGGAUGCGCGCUGCAUUAGCUAGUUGGUAAGGUAACGGCUUACCAAGGCAACGAUGCAUAGCCGACCUGAGAGGGUGGAACGCCACACUGGAGCUGCUGCACGGUCCCGGCGCCGACGGGAGGCAGCAUGAGGGGAUCUUCCGCGAUUGGCGAAAGCCUGGCAGAGGAGAGCCGCGUGAGUGAUGAAGGUCUUCGGAUCGUAAAACUCUGUUAUUAGGGAAGCGGUACCUAAUCAGAGAGCCACGGGUAACUACGUGCCAACAACCGCGGUAAUAC
rnacentral:rRNA from 1 species